rnacentral:rRNA from 1 species
CAGGGAAUAUUGGUCAAUGGAUGCAAGUCUGAACCAGCCAUGCCGCGUGCAGGAAGACGGCCCUAUGGGUUGUAAACUGCUUUUGUCAGGGGAUAAAACAGCUCUGCGGAGCAAAUUGAAGGUACCUGGCGAAUAAGCCACGGCUAACUACGUGCCAGCAGCCGCGGUAAUACGUAGGUGGCAAGCGUUGUCCGGAUUUAUUGGGUUUAAAGGGUGCGUAGGCAGCCUUAUAAGUCAGUGCUGAAAUAUCCCGGCUUAACCGGGAGGGUGGCAUUGAUACUGUAGGGCUUGAGUAAAGUUGAGGUAGGCGGAAUUGACGGUGUAGCGGUGAAAUGCUUAGAUAUCGUCAAGAACACCGAUAGUGAAGACAGCUUACUAAACUUUAACUGACGCUGAGGCACGAAAGUGUGGGGAUCAAAC